AAGAGCAAUGUCUGACAGUUCAGUUAAUGAAACUGAAGACUCAGUGGUAUAUUCUGACUUCUUUUUCACUGGGUGAUACCUGUGAGCUCCACUUCUGAUGUUACUGUCGAAACAGAGAAAGCGAAAAUACAAAGCACAGUCUUUUGAAUCUGUUCAGAGAGAACAAAAGUACUGAAGAGGACAAGUUAUUAUGAAAAGAAAGGAAAAAUCUUUAGCUUAAUAAUCACAGUCGAGACUUUCAUGUAACUAUCCACCUGAUAGUAGUUAAUACAACAAGUAAAGCAUUCAGUGCCUAGAGCGGCUGUCUGAGUGAUGUCACAGGGAUGGCACCUCAGGCUGUAACACAUGGAAUCAGGCACAAAUCCCUAAGCUCUGUAUGAACUCCAUCACGACGCAUUCCAAGGUCAGUUCACCCAAGAGUGCAGAGGUUGAUCAUAGCACUUUUGAUGACUCACACCUGACUGUGUAAGCUGCAGCCAUUAAAAAGUAUGGCAUUUUUUGAAA